rnacentral:rRNA from 1 species
UGCCAGACUCCUACGGGAGGCAGCAGUGAGGAAUAUUGGUCAAUGGGCGCAAGCCUGAACCAGCCAAGUCGCGUGAGGGAUGACGGUCCUAUGGAUUGUAAACCUCUUUUGUCGGGGAGCAAGGCCCGCCACGUGUGGCGGGAAGGAGAGUACCCGAAGAAAAAGCAUCGGCUAACUCCGUGCCAGCAGCCGCGGUAAUACGGAAGGGCCGGGCGUUAUCCGGAUUUAUUGGGUUUAAAGGGAGCGUAGGCCGGCUUUUAAGUCAGCUGUGAAAGUCCGCGGCUCAACCGUGGAAUUGCAGUUGAAACUGGAGGCCUUGAGUGCACACAGGGAUGCCGGAAUUCAUGGUGUAGCGGUGAAAUGCUUAGAUAUCACGAAGAACUCCGAUUGCGAAGGCAGCUCACUGGACUGCAACUGACACUGAGGCUCGAAAGUGUGGGUAUCAAACAGGAUUAGAUACCCCCGUACG